AUCUUGCAUGUGGCAGAGCUGAAUUCAAACUCAGGGCAGAAGCCAACCCAUGUCCUUUCCCUGCAGCAUGGUGACCACAGCGUGCUGCCUCUCACGCGGUUCUCGGAUGAGCAAGCCAACAAAAAGAUAUAGAGCUUUAAAAAAAAUUCCAGGAACUGACACCUGGACCUCAUGUUCCACCUUCCACUCAGGAAGUAAAGCCAGGACUAAGUUCCCUGCUGCUACAGACGGGGCAGUGCAAGAUCAGAUAAAACUAAUCAGUAACUAACCAUGGCUGUGAAGAGAAAGAGAAAAUAAUUUCCAGGUAAAAUCCAGAUACAGGUGACAACCUUAGUAAAAAAUUAUUUCGAACUAACCUCUUCUAAGGAAUUUGGGACCAAAUAACAGCUCUGACUAGAGAAUAAAAUGAUCUGGAAGGAGACACAGCAAGUUCAAGAAAAUACCUACCUUGAGAAACAAGCCGAAAAAAAAUCACUGGGAACCACCAGGGGCUGUUUGGUUGGGUGCAUAC